GACGAACGCUGGCGGCGUGCCUAAUUCAUUCAAGUUGAGCGAUGAAUAUUGGUGCUUGCACCAAUUUGAAGAGCAGCGGACGUGUGAGUCACGCUUGGGGCAUCUGCCUUUGAGCGGGGGACCACAUUUGGACACGAAUGCUAAUACCGCAUAACAACUUUAAACAUAAGUUUUAAUUUUGAAAGAUGCACUUGCAUCACUCAAAUAUGAUCCCUCGUUGUAUUAGCUAGUUGGUGAGGUAAAGGCUCACCAAGGCGAUGAUACAUAGCCGACCUGAGCGGGUGAUCGGCCACAUUGAGACUGAGACAAGGCCCAAAAACAUACGGAAAGCCGCACUAGUGAACAUUCGGCAAUGGAAGAAAGUCCGACCAAGCAAAGACGUGUGAGUGAAGAAGGUUUUAGGAUAGUAAAACUAUGUGGGGAGAGAAGAACGUGGGUAAAAGUGGAAAGCGCAGCAAGGGACGGGAGAUACCGAGAAAGGGAGGGCUAAAUACAUG
rnacentral:rRNA from 1 species